CCCUUAGAUGUCCUGGGCCGCACGCGCGUUACACUGAUGCAUUCAACGAGCUUAUAACCUUGGCCGAGAGGCCUGGGCAAUCUUGUUAACGUGCAUCGUGAUAGGGAUAGAUUAUUGAAAUUAUUAAUCUUGAACGAGGAAUUCCUAGUAAACGCAGAUCAUCAAUCUGCAUUGAUUACGUCCCUGCCCUUUGUACACACCGCCCGUCGCUCCUACCGAUUGAGUGUUCCGGUGAGGCUUUGGGAGAAUGGCCUCAACAUGAGUUUAUCGUGUUUUGCCGUUUGAACUUAGUCAAACCUUAUCACUUAGAGGAAGGAGAAGUCGUAACA
rnacentral:rRNA from 1 species